CCUACGGGAGGCAGCAGUAGGGAAUCUUUCACAAUGGGCGAAAGCCUGAUGGAGCAACGCCGCGUGCAGGAUGAAGGCCUUCGGGUUGUAAACUGCUUUUAUAAGCGAGAAAUAUGAUGGUAACUUAUGAAUAAGGAUCGUCUAACUACGUGCCAGCAGCCGCGGUCAUACGUAGGAUCCGAGCAUUAUCCGGAGUGACUGGGUGUAAAGAGUUGCGUAGGUGGCAGAAUAAGUAGCUAGUGAAAUCUGGCGGCUCAAACAUUGUGACUAUUAGCUAAACUGGUAAGCUCGAGACCGUUAGGGGUAAGUGGAAUUUCUGGUGUAGGAGUGAAAUGCGUAGAUAUUAGGAGGAACACCGAUAGCGAAGGCAGGUUACUGGGACGGUUCUGACACUAAGGCACGAAAGCGCAGGGAGCAAACGGGAUUAGAUACCCGAGUAGUC
rnacentral:rRNA from 1 species